GCUAAAUUACUAAAGCUUGGUGUUGGGAAACUCCGGUGAGAUUCCGGGGCUGUGCCGCAACUGUAAUGUAAAGGCCAAAGAAAUUUUCUUUUGACUUUCCAAGUCAGAAUGCCAAUUCCAAGAGUAUAUA
rnacentral:ncRNA from 2 species